rnacentral:rRNA from 1 species
AGAGUUUGAUCCUGGCUCAGAACGAACGCUGGCGGCGUGCCUAACACAUGCAAGUCGUACGAGAAAUCCUGGGCAACUGGGAGAGUAAAGUGGCGCACGGGUGAGUAACGCGUGGGUAACCUACCCUUAAAUUGGGGAUAACUCUUCGAAAGGGGAGUUAAUACCGAAUAAUAUUUCAAUUUCUAUGGGAGUUGGAAUCAAAGGUGGCCUCUGCAUGCAAGCUAUCGUUUAAGGAUGGGCCCGCGUACCAUUAGCUAGUUGGUAGGGUAAUGGUCUACCAAGGCAACGAUGGUUAGCUGGUCUGAGAGGAUGGCCAGCCACACUGGAACUGAGACACGGUCCAGACUCCUACGGGAGGCAGCAGUGGGGAAUCUUGCGCAAUGGGGGAAACCUUGACGCAGCAACGCCGCGUGGGUGAUGAAGGCCUUCGGGUCGUAAAGCCCUGUCAGGUGGGAAGAAACCUGCGGAUGUUAAUACCAUCCGCACUUGACGGUACCACCGGAGGAAGCACCGGCUAACUCCGUGCCAGCAGCCGCGGUAAUACGGAGGGUGCAAGCGUUGUUCGGAAUUAUUGGGCGUAAAGCGCGUGUAGGUGGUCAGGUAAGUCAGAUGUGAAAGCCUUCUGCUUAACAGAAGAAGUGCAUUUGAAACUGCUUGGCUAGAGUACGGGAGAGGAGAGUGGAAUUCCCGGUGUAGAGGUGAAAUUCGUAGAUAUCGGGAGGAACACCAGUGGCGAAGGCGGCUCUCUGGUCCGAUACUGACACUGAGACGCGAAAGCGUGGGGAGCAAACAGGAUUAGAUACCCUGGUAGUCCACGCCGUAAACGAUGGGCACUAGGUGUAGGAGGUAUUGACCCCUUCUGUGCCGAAGCUAACGCAUUAAGUGCCCCGCCUGGGGAGUACGGCCGCAAGGCUAAAACCCAAAGGAAUUGACGGGGGCCCGCACAAGCGGUGGAGCAUGUGGUUCAAUUCGACGCAACGCGAAGAACCUUACCUGGGCUUGACAUCCGCUGACAGCUACGGAAACGUAGUCUUCCCCGCAAGGGGACAGCGAGACAGGUGCUGCAUGGCUGUCGUCAGCUCGUGUCGUGAGAUGUUGGGUUAAGUCCCGCAACGAGCGCAACCCUCAUCCUUAGUUGCCAUCAUUGAGUUGGGAACUCUAAGGAAACUGCCUCGGUUAACGGGGAGGAAGGUGGGGAUGACGUCAAGUCCUCAUGGCC